CCCCCUCCUGUUCCCCCCUGCCAUCCUCCAGCACCCACCUCCCACACAGUCCGCCCACCCACUCCAGGCUGUCAACACCCGCUCAGACCCUGGGCUCCUAGCCUGGCUCCUGGCUAGCCCAACCUGGCUGCAAAGGCAACUCCAGUGGAAGGAGCCUUGGAUAGCCUGGGGGUGGGGUACUCCGGAGCUUGGUCCAGCUCCAGUUUAGGGACCUAACCCAGUAGAGGGAGUCCCCCCCCCCACCCAUGACAAAUACCACCCACGAAGACCCCAGUCUCCUCCACACCUGCCCCAGGAGUGCCCCGCGGCCCCUGCCCUAGAACCCUCCCUUCCCUCCUUGGGAAAUGUUCCAGAAGCUCACAGGGUGAUGCAGGGAAGGUGGAGUUCCAGAACCCACCAGGCAGACACCAGGAUACCACCGGCCAGCACCUGGCACAUUUCUCAACAAAUGACUCAUGAAAAACGGAACAAUCAGAUGUCCGUCAAUGGGGAAUUGGGCUAAAAUGCUAUGGCACACAGGUGCAAUGAGUCAGCCUUUAUUCCUAAUCACCCACAACUGCUGUACGACAACAAAGCAGAAACACAGGUGGUGUGGGCAAACACGGCCACAGCCUCUUGUCACGUGGAAAAUGGGUAUGGCCUGGCCAUGUUUUAGCCGCUUGCCUGUCUAAUCCUAAAAGGCAGCUGGAGGGGAGUGAUGGCCUCCGGGCUGUGGGAUCACCGGGCUCUGUGGGUUCAAGGAACGCAAGCCCAACCUCUCCAGCCAUUUCCAGUAAAGCCAGUCAUGCCCUGGGGUGGCCUAGGGUUCUACCCCUUUGCCCCAUGGACUCUUCUGGGCAGAAGCUGUAGGCCUGGGACCCUCCUGGAACGUCGCCCAUCCAGCACCAGCCCUUGCAGAGGUGGGGGUUCCUCUGGCCUGGGUGUCUGGAGCUGUGCCUGCUCCACACUCUCACCCCACCUCCCACCAAAGGGAGCUCAGGGCUGUGGAUGGUGCUAGGUCAGCUGCCUCCCUGGGUCAGUGGGUUGGAAGGUAGGAAACCAUCACCUCCCCAGAAGAUAAAAUAGUUCCCAGGCAUCCUUAUGAGGAGGGCUGGCUUUGCUAAAAAGAUCCAGGGGGUGGGAACAGAAGUGCCCAAUGGGGUCAAUUAUAGGGUUCACACUUAGGGUGCUGGGUAAACCCUCUCCUCAGUCACCCCAGCAGGGGCUUCUGUACAUUCAACCCUGGUUGCCACCCAGCGCUAUUCCCGAGGGUUGGACAGAGCUCAGGGUGGGCACGAGGCCUUCCCAAGUGAUGCCAGCAGGAGCAACAGAUGUGCAGGGCUCCCGUCGCACAUCCAAGCUCUGCUUCACACCCCAGGACCCCAGGGCCGGCUGCCCGCCAUGUGCUGGCUGUGGACCUUCAGAGGAGCUGGUUUGGAGGGUCUGUGGCCAGGGCCAGCUCCCGGACUCAGGACUCAUCAGCUUCAUUUUACAGAGGAGGAAACUGAGGCCCAGGAGUUUAGGGUCCUGUGGCAGCUCCGAGGGUGGUCUUCUCUGUGAUUACAAAAUCUUGACUAGGACCAGGGGCCAUGGCUGAAGCACCUGGGUGGGUGCCCAGCCCUGCCAGGCAGAAGGCAGGUGGCUUCUCUUGUUUAAAUCUUAGAUCUUACUUGUGGGAGACCUCGGGUGGGGGGUGAGGUCUGCUGCCUUUUGCAUUCUAAUCAGGUGAGUCACGACAGGGAUCAGCACCCUGUAAGCACCUGCGGGUCAAGACAGAGACCCUUGCCGGAGCCCAGAAGCCGCUGCAGGCCCCUCCCAUCCCAUCAGUAGCCCAUCCCUAGGGGUCUGGUGGCCCCUCCCUUCGCUCUGUGGGUUUCCGUGUCCACGUAUAUCCUCCCACACGGCAGCCUGGGGUUAAAUGUGCGUUGUGUGACUUUCAGUGCUCUCUUCCUACCCACCUCCAUCCCUCUGUCCUUUUCUGUACCCGGCACCUGUUGUAGGAAGUGGCCCUCGGACACGUGGAGGUACCCGAGGCCUGGGUUGGAGCUGCAUCUUUCGGUGCAGGCCUCUGCGUCUCCUGGAAGUGGGCACCUGGAGCCAGGGGACUGCUGGGAUCCGGGUCCAGUCCCCUGGCAAGGCCGGGGGCUCGCAGAGGGAGCCACGCACUGUCUGGUGGUAGCUCCUCCGUCCGCAGUCGUUGGUGCUUGAUGUCUGAAUCGACAGAUUCAUGGAGCAAAAUGGUGAUUUUCCAGUGCGUGGUGGCUUCGUCAUGAAUUCACUGGAGGGAGAGGCUCAUCUUGUCCGUCUGGCCAUCUGGAUAAUGGUGCCCACAGGAAAGGCAGGGCAAGGGUGCCUCUCCCUCAUUUGUCAGUUUCCACAACGGUGAAUUGGUUCCCGACAAUCUCCCAAGUAUAUUUGUACAUCGCUGAUGAAACACAUUGGUGGGUCUCAGUCGAUCACCAUUAGUGCCCUUUCCAAGCAUCGGUGUCCAGCUUUGCCCAGGGGGCCUCUUCAAAUGCAAUCUCGCAUCCUUAUGAUGUGAGCCUGGUCAUCUGCGAUGGCCUCUUGGCCGUGUGCAGGGCACAGCCAGGGGAACCCUGGGAUUUAGUGCGAAAGUGUAGCCGAUGGUGGUUACAUUCUGUGUGUAGAUUCUCGAAACAGUCCCUGCUGCCUGCCACCCUGGGGUGGAGUUUCUAAUGGAUUAGGACGGACACCCAAUGCCAGCUUCCAAGCCAGGAGGCCGCUCGUGCCCACGGCUUGGAAUCAGGGCUGUGGCCUGGGAGGGCUCUCACCAGACGCAGGCUGCCUCCAGGUAUCUGUGUGCCUCUGCCCACGGAGCUUCUCCCCAGGUCCGCGGGUCCCCCCAGUCCACUUCUGCUUUCCUGUUAGGGUGGGGGGCUCAUCUCCUGGUGCGCCAUCUGCAUCCUUCUGGGCUGGGAACCUGCUGUCGGGUAUCAGGCAGGGCGCACCUCCAGGGCUGAAGGAUGCAGGUGGGGCUGGCAGGCAGAGUGUCCGUGGAGAGCUCCGUGUCCAGGGAAGGGGACACCUGGAGGAGGCCGGCCCUGGAGGCCCCACACUCCUUCUCACCAGAAAGCCACCCGCCUUCUGCCUGGCAGGGCCGGGCACCCACCCAGGUUCUUGCCUGUUGGCCCAGCACCCAUGCGUGGUGAGCCUCUCCUGGCAGGGUGGGGUAUGUGGACAUCAGUGGAGGAAGCAGAGUCUCCGGCCACCUGUGGGACCCACACUCUCCCUGCCCAGGAGUCCCACCAGGGCCGAGAAUUCUGCCCAUGGCCAGGGUGGCCCUAAAGCCCCACAUCCGCCACCACCUGUGGGGGCUCGAAGGGAGCUGUGGUAGGCAGGGAUGACAGAAGACCCCAGCCACAGCCCCAGGCCCAUGGCUGCAUCUCCCCUGAAGAAGCAGCCCUGUCCCAAGGGUUCUGCAAACAAUGCCAGGCUCUUCCCAGGCAGGCACCGCAAGCUGCCCCCCGCCCCGAUCCCUGGCUUGCCCAGGGCGGGGCCUCUGGGCCUGGUGGAUGGUGGGCCUGGCCUGGCGCUGGGGAGCCUGUCUGCACAGUGGCCAGAGCUCGUCUCAGACCAUCUGUGUCUGAGACUGUAAGUGACGCCAACAGAAGGUCAAGCUUGAGCGACAAAGCUCUCAGUCCUGUAAUUCACGGACACUGAGUCUUCGCUCAAGUUCCCUCUGGAAGAUUCCGUGGAUGAGUCCGACACACUCUUCCCCUCACUCAGGAGGCUCCAGGAUUUUUAGACCACGUGUGUGGCUUUCCUUCUCUCAAAGUGUAACUCACAUAAUGUUACUCAGAAUCUCACACGGACGCCCGUGAGUUGCAGACACAGGGAAGGUUCGCAUCUCCUCUGAAGUCCAAGCUGCCCAGAAGCCCACCCACCCCCCGCCAGCUCUCGUUCCUGCUCCACAGGUGACUUCUUUCCCGUGAAGCUUGGGCAAAUGUUUGCUGUCGGCUCAGGGGGAAAGGCCAUGCCAGGGUCCAGAUGGGCUCAAAACCUCCCAACCUGGCAGACACGCAGCCCUUCAGAAAUGGAAGCAGAGCCCAGGACACGAUGUGGCCAAUCCUCUCUCAGACGUCAUAAAGAGCUGGGUUUGGAAGACGAGGCCAACCCUCAUGGAUGCCGCCCCCGACCCCAGCAACACCAUGAGAUCAGGGAUUUGCUGGCUCUGUCUCAGAGCCGCGGAGGGUCCUGCUCAAACCCCAGAGCCGUGGGGAUGGGCUGGGGGGCUGGUGGGGAGCGUACUGCGAGGGGCCACUGAGCAGGCUGGGGUGAGCUGGGCCUGGCCUGCGGGGGUGGGGGUGCAGCCUUCGCUGGGGAGGCAGCCAGGGAAGGGGUUCCUACCAGCCCGAGAUGGAGCAACGAAGCAACUAGUGAAGCCAAGUUUGCAAAAUUAUCACCGUUGGUGGAAGGGUUCCGACCUGACUCCAUCUUGGUUCUGACCUCCAAGCUGUCCUUGUUCCUUCCUGGGCGUAGGCUGAACUAACUUUGGGAGGAACUUAGUUUAUAGUUAAA
rnacentral:lncRNA from 1 species